rnacentral:tRNA from 1 species
GCCGAAGUGGCGGAAUCGGUAGACGCGCUGGACUCAAAAUCCAGUGACCGCAAGGUCGUGUGGGUUCAAGUCCCACCUUCGGCA